GUGUCAAUCAACCAAUCAGGAGAAUGACAUACUAAAAGAAUAGUGGGAAAUAUACCAUACCCAACAUCCUUCAUGUCAGUGUCUCCAAUGACAACAUUAGCGGUCUUGCCACCUUUCCCAGGAUGACGCUUGUCAUAGCGAUUAGGGCAACUAGGAGCCCAAUGAUCAGGAUCCCCACACACAUGACAAGCACCUUUCUUCUUGUCAUUCUUCUUUUUGAAGUUCGUGUGUUGCACAGCCUUGUUCUUCCCAUCAAACUUUGCUUUACCAUCAAACUUGCCCUUGUUCUUGAACUUGUGGGGCUGGAAGUUCUUCUUCUUUACCAGAUUGGCACAAGAUCCUCCCUCAAUACCUCGAGCACGUGUGUCCUUUGCUCUCGCCUUUUCUUCCACAUCAAGAGUACCAAUGAGAUCCGGAACGGAAAACUCCUGUCUCUUAUGCUUCAGUAAGGUAGCAAAGUUCCUCCAUGAAGGAGGAAGCUUAGUGAUGAUACCCCCGGCAACAAACUUGUCC
rnacentral:rRNA from 1 species